GCAAAGGGACGUAUCGCCGAUUCGAGAUGUAUAAAUUAUGCCUAUAAAGUGUGUUUUUUUGUGUUUUGUUAUUAAAUUAUUGUGUGUUCAUCUUGUUUAAUAAUCUGCUCAACAAUAGUGAAGAUUAUCUUUUAAUAACGAGGAUGUCUUUGGAUUUGCAUUCGAUGUAUUUGGAGCUAUGACGUCAUCGAACAAUUCUACGACGCAAUUCGAAAUAUUUUCUAUAAAUCAGAUUAUCUUUUAUUAACGAGGAUGUCUUUGGAUUUGCAUUCGAUGUAUUUGCAGCUAUGACGUCAUCGAACGAUUCUACGACGCAAUUCGAAAUAUUUUCUAUAAAUCAGAAUAAUUGGUAGCAUCGUCAUAGGAUUCGAAGGCUGAAAAAUACCAAUAUGGAUGUCAUGGAAACGCGGUAAAAUUUGAAAUCUCGUUCGUAUACGUUUUUAUUUUGUCAUUA